AGGCGGGCUGUCGCGGGGCGCCGGCCUUGAUCAACGCCCGGCUGUUUCCGCAGCUGCUGUUGAGGCCGCCGCCGAGGCCUCCGGCAGCCGCCAUGUCCGCUAGCGCCGUCUACGUGCUGGACCUGAAGGGCAAGGUGCUCAUCUGCCGGAACUACCGCGGCGAUGUGGACAUGUCGGAGGUGGAGCACUUCAUGCCCAUUCUGAUGGAGAAAGAGGAGGAGGGCAUGCUGUCGCCCAUCCUGGCCCACGGCGGUGUCCGCUUCAUGUGGAUCAAGCACAACAACCUCUACCUGGUUGCUACCUCCAAGAAGAAUGCGUGUGUGUCGCUGGUGUUCUCCUUCCUGUACAAGGUGGUGCAGGUGUUUUCCGAAUACUUCAAGGAGCUGGAGGAGGAGAGCAUCCGCGACAACUUUGUAAUCAUCUAUGAGCUGCUGGACGAGCUCAUGGACUUCGGCUACCCACAGACCACAGAUAGCAAGAUCCUGCAGGAGUACAUCACUCAGGAGGGCCACAAGCUGGAGACGGGGGCCCCGCGGCCCCCAGCCACUGUCACCAAUGCAGUAUCCUGGAGGUCCGAGGGCAUCAAGUACCGGAAAAACGAGGUGUUUUUGGAUGUCAUCGAGUCAGUCAACCUCUUGGGUAAAUACCCAGGAGUGGGAUUGCUGGGUCAUACGGUCAGUGCUAACGGGAACGUGCUGCGCAGUGAGAUUGUGGGCUCUAUCAAGAUGCGGGUCUUCCUGUCAGGCAUGCCUGAGCUGCGCCUGGGCCUCAAUGACAAGGUGCUCUUCGACAACACAGGCCGUGGUAAGAGCAAGUCCGUGGAGCUGGAGGACGUGAAGUUCCACCAGUGCGUGCGGCUCUCACGCUUCGAGAAUGAUCGCACCAUCUCCUUCAUCCCUCCUGAUGGCGAGUUCGAGCUCAUGUCCUACCGCCUUAACACACACGUAAAGCCCUUGAUAUGGAUCGAAUCUGUCAUUGAGAAGCAUUCACACAGCCGAAUUGAGUACAUGAUCAAGGCUAAGAGCCAGUUCAAACGACGUUCAACAGCCAACAAUGUGGAGAUCCACAUCCCAGUGCCUAACGAUGCCGACUCGCCCAAGUUCAAGACCACUGUGGGCAGCGUCAAGUGGGUGCCAGAGAACAGUGAGAUUGUGUGGUCCAUCAAGUCCUUCCCGGGUGGUAAGGAGUACCUGAUGCGUGCGCACUUUGGCCUGCCCAGCGUAGAGGCAGAAGACAAGGAGGGCAAGCCCCCAAUCAGCGUCAAGUUCGAGAUUCCCUACUUCACCACUUCUGGCAUCCAGGGAAGAAGGAUCAGAGGGGGGCUGAACCUGUGGAGGGGUAGGCAGGCCAUGGGGGGCUGCGCAUUUUCAGGGCCCGGCACCUAUGCCCCCAGGUGCGCUACCUGAAGAUCAUCGAGAAGAGCGGUUACCAGGCCCUGCCCUGGGUCCGCUACAUCACCCAGAACGGAGACUACCAGCUCCGUACCCAGUGAGGGGCACACCCACCCCCAGAAGCACCUGCCAAGCAGCUGGAUGGAGGAGGGAGUGUCUGGAUCCGGCACCUCCCCAGUCCCCCGGACCUCCCCGCGGGCCCCACCCUGCCUUCAGCACUCUGGGUGGUGGACAUAGUCUCAUCUGGGACAUCUUGUCUCUCCGCCCAUCCACGUCCGACUGGGGAAGUCACUAAUGGCUUGUUCUGCCGUGGGCUCCCUGGUACCAAAACGAUCAAGACACACGUGCCAGAUGCUGGCCGCAUGCGCCACCUGUCACCACCUGCCACCAGGGCACGUGGCUCUGCUGGGAUCUUGGGGGUGUCGUGCUGUUGCUGUUUCCGUUCACGUUGUUUGUUGGUUUAUGAAUUUCUACUUGUUGGUUGCUGUCUCGCCCACUCCCCCAGGGCCGCACAGGACCACUGUUCCCAUGUCCCCGCUUACCCCAUCGUGACAGGCUCAGACAGCACUUAGUAAGGGCAGGGACAGUCUUCUCCUCCUAAAAACCAGCCCCACCCCUCCCUCGUCUUCCUCACAUGCGGCUGAUGGGUCGGCUUAUUUGCAGGGUUGGACUUCCAUGCGUGUCUGCCAGCCCCAUCUCGUGCUGUGACGGCAGUGCCUUCCAGGGCCAGCCCAUGCAACACCCACACCACAUUCAGCCACAUCAGUGUUUCUCUGACGGGGGGCUCGCCCUGUCUCUUCCCACCAAGGGUACGAGAGAGCCCAGGCCAUCUUGUCUGUGCCUGGUCCCUGCCAACCUGUGUGUUCAGGUCAUGAUUCCAUUAAAUUCCAUUCAUUCGA